AAAAAGGUAGAGCAAACCUCUAUCUAGUCUCAUUAAGGCGAAAUCUUCAAAAUGCGGGGAAAUCUUAAAGACAAAUCUACCAAAUUAAUAUAGUAAUAUGAUUAAUGGAACAGGUAAUGACUCGUUGUAUGGUAAAAACGGUUUGUAUGAAGAAAUGAAAUAGAUAAUCCGCAGCUAAACAUCCGUAUAGAAAUAUUGGUAAACAGUUCAUCGACUAAAUGGAGGUUGGUUUAUAAUUAUAUAAUUAUAUAAUUAUUUGCUUAAGGUAUAGUCAGGCAUAAUAGAAAAAUUAUG
rfam:Stemphylium lycopersici strain CIDEFI 216 C29510, whole genome shotgun sequence.